CGCUUUGUGGUUCAACUGAAUUUGAAGAGCUUGCUCAGAUAUGACGAUGGACAUUGCAAAGAGUGGCGAACGGGUGAGUAACACGUGGGAAACCUACCUCUUAGCAGGGGAUAACAUUUGGAAACAGAUGCUAAUACCGUAUAACAAUGACAACCGCAUGGUUGUUAUUUGAAAGAUGGUUCUGCUAUCACUAAGAGAUGGUCCCGCGGUGCAUUAGCUAGUUGGUAAGGUAAUGGCUUACCAAGGCGAUGAUGCAUAGCCGAGUUGAGAGACUGAUCGGCCACAAUGGGACUGAGACACGGCCCAUACUCCUACGGGAGGCAGCAGUAGGGAAUCUUCCACAAUGGGCGAAAGCCUGAUGGAGCAACGCCGCGUGUGUGAUGAAGGGUUUCGGCUCGUAAAACACUGUUGUAAGAGAAGAAUGACAUUGAGAGUAACUGUUCAAUGUGUGACGGUAUCUUACCAGAAAGGAACGGCUAAAUACGUGCCAGCAGCCGCGGUAAUACGUAUGUUCCAAGCGUUAUCCGGAUUUAUUGGGCGUAAAGCGAGCGCAGACGGUUAUUUAAGUCUGAAGUGAAAGCCCUCAGCUCAACUGAGGAAUUGCUUUGGAAACUGGAUGACUUGAGUGCAGUAGAGGAAAGUGGAACUCCAUGUGUAGCGGUGAAAUGCGUAGAUAUAUGGAAGAACACCAGUGGCGAAGGCGGCUUUCUGGACUGUAACUGACGUUGAGGCUCGAAAGUGUGGGUAGCAAACAGGAUUAGAUACCCUGGUAGUCCACACCGUAAACGAUGAGUGCUAGGUGUUUGAGGGUUUCCGCCCUUAAGUGCCGCAGCUAACGCAUUAAGCACUCCGCCUGGGGAGUACGACCGCAAGGUUGAAACUCAAAGGAAUUGACGGGGACCCGCACAAGCGGUGGAGCAUGUGGUUUAAUUCGAAGCAACGCGAAGAACCUUACCAGGUCUUGACAUCCCUUGACAACUCCAGAGAUGGAGCGUUCCCUUCGGGGACAAGGUGACAGGUGGUGCAUGGUUGUCGUCAGCUCGUGUCGUGAGAUGUUGGGUUAAGUCCCGCAACGAGCGCAACCCUUAUUACUAGUUGCCAGCAUUCAGUUGGGCACUCUAGUGAGACUGCCGGUGACAAACCGGAGGAAGGUGGGGAUGACGUCAAAUCAUCAUGCCCCUUAUGACCUGGGCUACACACGUGCUACAAUGGCGUAUACAACGAGUUGCCAACCCGCGAGGGUGAGCUAAUCUCUUAAAGUACGUCUCAGUUCGGAUUGUAGGCUGCAACUCGCCUACAUGAAGUCGGAAUCGCUAGUAAUCGCGGAUCAGCACGCCGCGGUGAAUACGUUCCCGGGUCUUGUACACACCGCCCGUCACACCAUGAGAGUUUGUAACACCCAAAGCCGGUGGGGU
rnacentral:rRNA from 1 species